rnacentral:rRNA from 1 species
UACGGAGGAUCCAAGCGUUAUCCGGAUUCACUGGGUUUAAAGGGUGCGUAGGUGGAAUGACAAGUCAGUGGUGAAAACCUGCAGCUUAACUGUAGAACUGCCAUUGAUACUGUUAUUCUUGAGUACAUUUGAUGUGAGUGGAAUGUGUCGUGUAGCGGUGAAAUGCUUAGAUAUGACACAGAACACCAAUUGCGAAGGCAGCUUGCUAAACAAAUAUUGACGCUGAGGCACGAAAGCGUGGGGAUCAAACAGG